CUGCUGCCUCCCGUAGGAGUCUGGUCCGUGUCUCAGUACCAGUGUGGGGGACCUUCCUCUCAGAACCCCUACGCAUCGUCGCCACGGUGGGCCGUUACCCCGCCGUCUAGCUAAUGCGCCGCAUGCCCAUCCUCUUCCGAUGAAUCUUUCCUCGAUCUCGGAUGCCCGAAACCGAUAUACGCGGGAUUAGCCUCCCUUUCGGAAGGUUGUCCCCUGAAGAGGGCAGGUUGCAUACGUGUUACUCACCGUGCGCCGGUCGCCGG
rnacentral:rRNA from 1 species